rnacentral:rRNA from 1 species
GAUGAACGCUGGCGGCGUGCCUAAUACAUGCAAGUCGAGCGAACAGACGAGGAGCUUGCUCCUCUGACGUUAGCGGCGGACGGGUGAGUAACACGUGGAUAACCUACCUAUAAGACUGGGAUAACUUCGGGAAACCGGAGCUAAUACCGGAUAAUAUAUUGAACCGCAUGGUUCAAUAGUGAAAGACGGUUUUGCUGUCACUUAUAGAUGGAUCCGCGCCGCAUUAGCUAGUUGGUAAGGUAACGGCUUACCAAGGCAACGAUGCGUAGCCGACCUGAGAGGGUGAUCGGCCACACUGGAACUGAGGCACGGUCCAGACUCCUACGGGAGGCAGCAGCAGGGAAUCUUCCGCAAUGGGCGAAAGCCUGACGGAGCAACGCCGCGUGAGUGAUGAAGGUCUUCGGAUCGUAAAACUCUGUUAUUAGGGAAGAACAAAUGUGUAAGUAACUAUGCACGUCUUGACGGUACCUAAUCAGAAAGCCACGGCUAACUACGUG